rnacentral:rRNA from 1 species
CCUACGGGUGGCAGCAGUGGGGAAUAUUGGACAAUGGGCGAAAGCCUGAUCCAGCCAUGCCGCGUGUGUGAAGAAGGCCUUCGGGUUGUAAAGCACUUUCAGUGGGGAAGAAAGCCUUGGGGCUAAUACCCUCGAGGAAGGACAUCACCCACAGAAGAAGCACCGGCUAACUCCGUGCCAGCAGCCGCGGUAAUACGGAGGGUGCGAGCGUUAAUCGGAAUUACUGGGCGUAAAGCGCGCGUAGGCGGUCUGAUAAGCCGGUUGUGAAAGCCCCGGGCUCAACCUGGGAACGGCAUCCGGAACUGUCAGGCUAGAGGUCAGGAGAGGAAGGUAGAAUUCCCGGUGUAGCGGUGAAAUGCGUAGAGAUCGGGAGGAAUACCAGUGGCGAAGGCGGCCUUCUGGACUGACACUGACGCUGAGGUGCGAAAGCGUGGGUAGCAAACAGGAUUAGAUACCCCAGUAGUC